rnacentral:rRNA from 1 species
GGGGAUAUUGCGCAAUGGGGGGAAACCCUGACGCAGCGACGCCGCGUGAAGGAAGAAGGUCUUCGGAUUGUAAACUUUUGUUCUUGGGGACGAGAAAGGACGGUACCCAAGCAGAAAGCCACGGCUAACUACGUGCCAGCAGCCGCGGUAAUACGUAGGUGGCAAGCGUUGUCCGGAUUUACUGGGUGUAAAGGGCGUGUAGGCGGGCAUGCAAGUUGGAUGUGAAAUGUCACGGCUUAACCGUGGAGCUGCAUCCAAAACUGCAAGUCUUGAGUGCCGGAGAGGAAAGCGGAAUUCCUAGUGUAGCGGUGAAAUGCGUAGAUAUUAGGAGGAACACCAGUGGCGAAGGCGGCCAACUGGGCUUUUACUGACGCUGA